rnacentral:misc_RNA from 1 species
GUGAAUCAUCAAAUUUUUGAACGCAAAUUGCACUCUCUGCUAUUACGAAGCGUAUGUCUGUUUGAGCGUCAAAUUAAAUAAAAAUCGGUGUGGUUGCUGCUUUCCGUGGUGACGCACCGGAUUUGGGUCGUCUUGCCUUCGUUAACGUGACAUAAUAUUCUGCAUGAUUUUUUCGAACGUAUUUAAAUGAUUUUACGUACGUUUGUGAUAUCAUAUACUAGGU